UAGUAUGUAGUACCACCAGAUGAGAUGUAUGCCAGCCACUCCAGACCUCCUCCUGCAGUCUGUCUGAUCCAAGCUAAGUACGGGUCACUACUAAAUCCAGAGAAUGUACAGGUUUUCAAGACAACCUUACAUUCUGUGAGAGCAAACAUGAAGAGUGAAGACAAAACCCAUUUAGACACAAUAUCCAUUGUCAUGUUAUGAAAAGAGGAAGCUGAUGCAUCAAAAUCACAAACAACGGAGUGGAGGCUUUUUAAAGAGGACGGGGAGAAGUAAAUUUGCAUUGGGUGCCCUCUAAAGGGAAUUUACUUACAAGACACAGCAGCCAGCAACAGCAAGAGGAAUGAAGUGAACAUGG